CCAUUGGUGUCUCGCGACGAUACCUUGUGAACCUGGUCAGGCCCGGAAGGGAGCAGCCACAGCAAGCGACUCGUGUGCCGAGAAGUGCUGAUGGGGU
rnacentral:SRP_RNA from 1 species